rnacentral:tRNA from 1 species
GCAGUGGUGGCGCAGUGGUUAAGGAGCUGGGCUAGCAGCCAGGAAGUUGUGGGUUCAAUUCCCAGUCUCUUUCG